rnacentral:misc_RNA from 1 species
GAUGAAGAACGCAGCGAAAUGCGAUAAGUAAUGUGAAUUGCAGAAUUCAGUGAAUCAUCGAAUCUUUGAACGCACAUUGCGCCCGCCAGUAUUCUGGCGGGCAUGCCUGUUCGAGCGUCAUUUCAACCCUCAAGACCCCUUCGGGGGACUUGGUGUUGGGGACCGGCACAGGGGCCUGCCUGCUUGUCUUGCAGCGCCCUCGCCGCCCCCGAAAUGAAUUGGCGGCCUCGUCGCGGCCUCCCCUGCGUAGUAGCACAAACCUCGCAACGGGAACGUGACGGCGGCCACUGCCGUAAAACAACCCAAUUUUAUUAGAGUUGACCUCGAAUCAGGUAGGAAUACCCGCUGAACUUAAGCAUAUCAAAAGCGGAGGA